rnacentral:rRNA from 1 species
CCAGGAUAAACCAACCGGUUUGCCGGCUAACUGUUGAAGCCUGUGGAGUACCAUAAUGGUGAGAUACAGGUGAAUGCAGGAAUGGCCCUCCUUAGAGGGUUUGGUUGAUUUCUGGAGCCCGUGAAAAGGGAACUGGUAAGGAAACUUCUGACCGUACCGAGAACCGUUUCUGGUGCCCCUCCCUGAAAAGGGGAAGGUGUGUUAGGAGAAAUCCGUCCAGGGAAUUCGGCAAAUUGGCCCCGUAUCUUCGGUAGAAGGGGUGCCUACUGCCCUGACUCAGUCAGGACCAGUAGGUCGCAGUGACAAGGGGGGUCCGACUGUUUAACAAAAACGUAGGGGAGCGCCAAGCAGAAAUGCUUUGUACGCUUCCUGAGGCCUGCCCAGUGCCAGUGUGUUAAACCCGGGUUCAACCGGGUGAAGCCCUGGUAAACGGCGGCGGUAACUCUGACCGUCUUAAGGUAGCGUAAUCCCUUGCCGGUUAAUUGCCGGCCUGCAUCAAUGGCUUAACGAGAUCCCCACUGUCCCGGACGGAUGCCUAGUGAACUCAAUGUCCAGUGCAUAUUCUGGAGUCCUUCAGCGGGACGAGAAGACCCCAUGGAACUUUACUGCAGCCUGGUGUUGUGGUAUGGGGAUGGCUGUAUAGUGUAGGUGGGAGCCUUCGAAGCAGGAUCGUCAGGUCCUGUGGAGGCAGCAAUGUAACACCACCCUGCUCUUCUCAUACUGCUUACCCCUAGGGGAACAGCACCUGGUGGGCAGUUUGACUGGGGCGGUACACCUCUGACAAAAGAUCAGAGGUGCCCAAAGGUCUCCUCAUCCCGGUCAGAAAUCGGGAGUAGAGUGUAAGGACAAAAGGAGGCCUGACAGGAUCCUUGACAACAAGGGAUCCUGACGCGAAAGCGUGGCCUAGCGAUCCCCUAUGCCUCAUUGGUUGGAGGCUAGGUCUGACAGAAAAGUUACCCUGGGGAUAAUGGAGUCGUGGCGGGCGAGAGUCCAUAUCGACCCCGUUCAUUGCUUCUCCGCCGUCGGCUCGGCUCUACCUGGGCGUGCAGCAGCGCCCAAGGGUGGGGGUGUUCACCCAUUAAAGAGUCACGUUAGCUGGGUUAAGAACGGUGCGAGCCAGUUCGGUCUAUAUCUGCUGAAGGUGUCGGUUGCCUGAAGGGAAGGCUCCUUUAGUACGAAAGGAACAAGGAGUCGUGGCCUCUGGUGUAUCGGCUGUUAUAAGCACGCCGAGUAGCUACGCCAUAACGGAUAAGCGCUGAAGGCAUCUAAGCGCGAAACCGACCCUGAAAAUAGGCAACCAUUCCACAAACUGGUACGCAAGUACCGGUGCGUGGAGGAAGGUCCUGUAGACGACAGGUUUGGUGGGACCGGGGUGUAAGUGCCAAGGCGAAAGCCGAGGCAUUCAGCCCGCGGCUAC